GUCUCCAUAGCUCAGUGGUUUAGAGCGGCCGCCUGCAGUCGGCAUAGCGGCAGGUCACGUGUUCAAAUCACGUUGGGGACU
rnacentral:tRNA from 2 species